rnacentral:rRNA from 1 species
UACGGGGGGGGCAAGCGUUGUUCGGACUUACUGGGCGUCAAGGGCUCGUAGGCGGCCAACUAAGUCAGACGUGAAAUCCCUCGGCUUAACCGGGGAACUGCGUCUGAUACUGGAUGGCUAGAGAUUGGGAGAGGGAUGCGGAAUUCCAGGUGUAGCGGUGAAAUGCGUAGAUAUCUGGAGGAACACCGGUGGCGAAGGCGGCAUCCUGGACCAACACUGACGCUGAGGAGCGAAAGCCAGGGGAGCAAACGGG